UUACUUGUCAGAGGGUUUUUAGCUUCCCCCAUCCUGCAAGGCCACUCAACCAUGUGCGAGCUGGAGUAAUCUUUAUUCACAAUGUCUCUACAAAGGCUCAUGCAACAGAGCUGCAAUGGCAAUUUGGUGGACUACAGUGCUGGUCCAGCAUAUAACUCUUACUCCCCGCUCACGGGCAGCUUGCGAAUGGAUGAUAAUAGAAGGAUUCAAAUGCUGGCAGACACUGUGGCUACUUUGCCUCGGGGAAGAAAGCAGCUUGCUUUGACGAGAUCAAGUUCUUUAGGUGACUUUUCCUGGUCUCAAAGAAAGCUCAUUACCGUGGAAAAGCAAGAUAAUGGAACGUUUGGAUUUGAAAUUCAGACUUACAGGCUGCAGAACCAGAACCUGUGCUCCUCAGAGAUGUGCACUCUGAUUUGCAAAAUCCAGGAGGACAGCCCAGCACACUAUGCUGGCCUGCAAACUGGUGAUGUCCUUGCAAAUAUCAAUGGCGUGAACACAGAAGGCUUUACCCACAAACAAGUUGUUGACCUGAUCAGAUCUUCAGGAAACCUGUUAACGAUAGAGACUCUUAAUGGAACAAUGAUUCUCAAAAGAGCAGAGCUUGAAGCAAAGCUGCAAGUUUUAAAGCAAACCUUGAAGAAAAAAUGGGUGGAGUUCAGAUCGCUGCAGUUACAGGAACAGCGUCUGCUUCAUGGGAGUGAUGCUCAUAUCCAUUCCACAGUGGACUUUGUUUUCUGCCUUCCAGGUGACACAGGUAAUUGCCCAAGUUUGGAAAACAUGGACAUAGAUGAGUCGGUUUUGUUUGGAACCCUGCCAGGGCCAGGGCCCGCCCUCCUGGACCGGAAUCGCCUAUCCAGUGAGAGCAGCUGUCUGAGCUCCAUGACGAUGGACAGCGAAGAUGGCUACCAGACAUGUGUGUCUGAGGACUCCAGCAGGGGAGGCUUCAGUCGACAGACGAGCACAGACGAUGAGUGCUUUGUCCCCAAGGAUGGGGACGAUUUCCUGAAGAGGUCUUCUUCGAGGAGGAACCGGAGUGUUAGCACGGCCAGCAGUGGGUCCAUGUCCCCCUUGUGGGAGGGCAACUUCUCAAACAUGUUUGGGACCCUGCCCCGGAAAAGCAGAAGGGGCAGUGUCCGGAAACAGCUCUUAAAAUUCAUCCCUGGCCUUCACCGUGCAGUGGAAGAGGAAGAGAGUCGCUUUUGAUGGGUUGUCCUGACCUUUCUUAUUUCGUAAAUAUCUCUGGACUUGUUUAGACUAACUCCACCCAGCCUGGUGGGAAAUUGCAGAUGGAUUGCAAAACUGAAACUCCAUACCAUGACGAUAGAUAGUGACCUUUAUUUAAAUUUUUGUAUCAUAAGGUUUGCUUCUUAAAUCAUUUUUUGUAACCAGAAAAGCGCAGGUGAUAAACAGAAAGUAGGGGAACUAGGUAAUAAGUUGGAUAAGAUGACAAAUUAAGCACAUUCCUGCUCAUCCUAAUGCUGCCUGGGAAGACAAGGGUAAUAUUUAUUUUCUAGAUUGUGUGAAAAAUUGAGAACUUUUCAGUCAAGUGUAAAUAAAAGAGUGAUGGAAUAUAAUUAUUUGGGAUACCUUCCAUAGGUUCAUUGGUAGGUCAUAAAACUUUGCUUAAGAUCAGUAGCCUCCAGGGAGGCUUAAUAAUAGGUCAUUUUGAAUGUUUCUGUUUACAUCUGUGAAGGAUUAUAAACAAAGAGGAUCAUCAGCUAUUUUUCACAUCCACAGCAACAAUAAAGCAGGAAGUAUGAGAUACAAUAAAGCAGGAAGUGUAAGAUUCAAUAUGAGGGUUUGGGAUCCAUGGGAACAUGUUGUCUAAGAUGGGUGCUGAGCAAGAUUAUAAGGGCUUUUUAAUAGACAGCCUAAACAGAAUGGGAGAGAAUGUCAUUCUUACUCAAUUCAAUUUUUGUUCUGCCUAAACAUUGAUGGCAAGUCUAGAAUUCUCAAGAUCCUGCAUACAGCUUUGUAAAUUUUUUUUUGGAGCAGAUGUCUGAAAUUUGAAAAAUUAGAGCCAGGAAAAGGAUUUUCCUCCUGUAGAUUUUUUCACAUUACUCCUCACUUUCUGUUAUAUAUUCCCAACAGUUACUGCCUCAGCACUCUUGCCUGUUGGUUAUGUUGGUAUCACAUUACUUCUAGCCUUUCAAUCACAUUUUUAUUCAGUACCCAUUCAAGUCCAUGAUUUCCCUGUUCUGGUGAUACAGCUGCUCAUGACCUAUAUUCUAGAGUAGAUAAUGCAGACAAUGUGAUAAAUAGUCCUUAUUGAUUUAAAGCUCUGUGUGUGUGUGUGUGUGUGUGUGUAUGUGUGUGUUUGGGAGAAAUAAAGACAUUUGAUAGGUGACUUUGAGUGUAACCACAUUUAAAUAAAUUGAGUAAAGAAUGAGUCAUUUUGAGAAAAGAAAGGGGGAGUAAGGAAACUUGUAGGGUAAGAAAUGAAUAUUAAAAUAAAAUAUAAAAGAUUGCUAAUUGGAACCUGCUUUCUAUUAAUUAUUUCAACUCCAAAUCAUCCAGUGGGCUCUGCUUUGGAAUCAUUCAUAUGAAAAGCAGGAUGAGGUGUUUUGAAGGAACAAUAACAAUGCUGUCUACCAUUUACUGAAUACCUAGCAGGUUAAAGAUGCUUUCCAUGUGAUCCUGAAACAACCCUGUUAGAUGGGUGUUAGCCAUACAUAAGGAGCAGGAGUUCGGAGAAGUUCCCAUGGCCAGCGGCAGGGCUGAAAUUGGAAACCAGUUCUUUCUAACUCUGGCCUAGUCUCAGUCUCUCUAGAUAUUGUUUACUCUUUUGCUGGUUCUGUGUGGUCAUCCCUACAGGACUUCCUCCCACCCCACAUCCCCCACCCCUCAUGGAAUACUUAAAACACACAAUUGUAGAUCCUGCAUGGAUAAAAAUUGUCUUUGGUUAAUAAGAGAAAAAACGGACAUUUAGAAUGACUCUUUCUCUUGGCCCCCACAAGCAAGUUUUCAAAUAUAGGCACAUUAAUAACUGCACGAUUAACAAUACAUUUAUUUUCAACAAAGGCUUGCAAGUCCAAGUUGUGAUUGGACUGACACUGCUUAUUUCCCAUCUUAGACUAGAAUUAUCAUGUUAAAGAUCUGCUUCCACGAAAGCAACGUAUCUUGUUAAUCCCAUCUUGCCAAAUCCAGGGGAAAGAAAUAAUCACAUUUAUUUGAGGAAAGAUGACUUUAAAUUCUUCUACAACAUGAUCAGGGUUUCGAGAACUUCCACAAGUCGUCUGGGAAAGCAGAUUAUAGGUCAUUUGCUUUUCUCAUGGCUCGAAGUGUUAAAUAUAGUGUAAUUCUUCCUCCUUACAGUAAAUAUCAAACCCAAAAAGGUACAGGGAAGGGAGAAAGCAAGUUCCACUGUAGUCUGAGGUAAGAAGCAUUAGAGUCAAGAGUUUGAGAUGUUCUGGAAAAAAAGAAAAGCAGUUUUUAACCAAAGUACAGGAAGGAAGGGUAUGUCAUGUUUUGUGUGUUCACAAGUUGUAAGAAAACUAGUUACUGUUUAGUGGAAAUGUAGGUAAAUUUCUCACAGCACAGCUUUUCAGACUAUCUGACCUCAGUGGGAGUUGAGAAGAUUUCAUUUCUCUAAUCUUCUGGGGCACAAUGACUCACUUUGAUGUAACUUACUGGGAAAUGAAUUGAAAAGUGAAGUGUUUUGUUUUUUGCUUACCCCCAACUUGUCAAAUAUGUGAUAUUGGUGGAUUUCAUUAAUUGACAAUUGGUUAUGAAAUUGCACUUUUGUAGCAUGGCAUUGAUAAACCAAAUUCGAAUCAAGCGUAUUGAGAAUUACUCUGUCCUGUGGCUAAAGGAACACCACCCACCAUAUCCAACAGGAUUCGUGGCAGCUUCCUUAGUAAAAACCAGUAAUGGAAAGAGAGAGACUGCACGCGAGACAGUCUUAAUGCAAUGUAACCACAGGAGUGACAUCUUUUCAACUUUGCCACAUAGCGGAACAUAAUGACACAAUUUUGGAGGCCAACUGCCCAGCAGCAGAGCUGGCGGCGGGGGAGGCGGCGGAAUGGACAUUCGAGGACAAAGCAGCCAUCUGCAAGCCAGGAAGAGAACUCUCUCCAGAAACCAAACCCUGUGGAACCUUAAUCUUGGACUGGAUCUGGAAUCAUUAUCCGGAACUGUAAGAAAACUAUUGUUUAAGCCCGGAUUGAAUGCAGAAUGGGACAAGACACUCUCCAUGUAUUAUUAAUAUAUGAAACAGCCUACUUAAGAAAAAUAGAAGGACUUUGGAAAUGAUUAGAGUCUGUAACUCAAAGGCAAAAGAAACCAUACAUAAACAUUGUAGUCCAUUUGAGAAAAUUGCUUCCCACAGGGGUAGCUGUUAAUCAUUCUGAUACUGCUGUACAUAUAUACUGGAACUGAACUAUUAAUAAAUGACUGACUAAUGA